rnacentral:rRNA from 1 species
AUUGAACGCUGGCGGCAGGCCUAACACAUGCAAGUCGAGCGAGCGGCGGACGGGUGAGUAAUGCCUGGGAAUUGCCCAGUCGAGGGGGAUCACCGUUGGAAACGACUGAUAAUCCCGCAUACGAUGUGGUUGCCCAUAUGGGAGUAGCGAGUUGGUGAGGUAAGGGCUCAACAAGGCGACGAUCCCUAGCUGGUCUGAGAGGAUGAUCAGCCACACUGGAACUGAGACACGGUCCAGACUCCUACGGGAGGCAGCAGUGGGGAAUAUUGCACAAGGGGGGAAACCCUGAUGCAGCCAGGCCGCGUGUGUGAAGAAGGCCUUCGGGUUGUAAAGCACUUUCAGCGAGGAGGCGUUACCCGCAGAAGAAGCACCGGCUAACUCCGUGCCAGCCGCCGCGGUAAUAC